UACGUAGGGGGCGAGCGUUGUCCGGAUUUACUGGGCGUAAAGCGCGUGUAGGCGGCCCGUUAAGUGGGGUGUGAAAGCCCGGGGCUCAACCCCGGGACGCCGCUUCAAACUGGCGGGCUUGAGGACGGAAGAGGGGAGUGGAAUUCCUGGUGUAGCGGUGAAAUGCGUAGAGAUCAGGAGGAACACCCGUGGCGAAGGCGGCCCCCUGGUCCGUCCCUGACGCUGAGACGCGAAAGCGCGGGGAGCGAACGGG
rnacentral:rRNA from 1 species